rnacentral:rRNA from 1 species
UACGGGGGGAGCAAGCGUUGUUCGGAUUUACUGGGCGUAAAGGGCGCGUAGGCGGCCACCGCAAGUCGACUGUGAAAUCUCCGGGCUUAACUCGGAAAGGUCAGCCGAUACUGCGGGGCUAGAGUGCAGAAGGGGCAACUGGAAUUCUCGGUGUAGCGGUGAAAUGCGUAGAUAUCGAGAGGAACACCUGCGGCGAAGGCGGGUUGCUGGGCUGAUACUGACGCUGAGGCGCGAAAGCCAGGGGAGCGAACGGG